GCUUGUGGCAGCCAAGCGUU
rnacentral:snRNA from 1 species